CGCCUGUUUAUCAAAAACAUCGCCUCUUGCACCCUUAUAAGAGGUCCAGCCUGCCCAGUGAUUAAUUCAACGGCCGCGGUACCCUAACCGUGCGAAGGUAGCGUAAUCACUUGUCUACUAAAUAUAGACCAGUAUGAAUGGCCCCACGAGGGUUAUACUGUCUCCCAACUUCAAUCAGUUAAACUGAUCUCCCCGUGAAGAAGCGGGGAUAUAACUAUAAGACGAGAAGACCCCAUGGAGCUUUAAACUAAGAGUCAACUAUUUAAUAAAAUACCCCAAAAUAUACUAGCUAUGACCUCAAAGUUUUCGGCUGGGGCGACCACGGAGUAUAACAAAACCUCCACGUUGAAAGGACAUUAAAUUCUUACCAAAGAGCCACACCCCAAAGGAUCAUAAUUAUGACAUCUCUUGACCCAAACCUCUUGAUCAACGAACCUAGUUACCCUGGGGAUAACAGCGCAAUCCAUUUCAAGAGCCCCUAUCGACAAAUGGGUUUACGACCUCGAUGUUGGAUCUGGGUCUCCAAGUGGUGCAACCGCUACUAAAGGUUCGUUUGUUCAACGAUUAAAACCCUACAUGAUCUGAGUUCAAACCGG
rnacentral:rRNA from 1 species